rnacentral:rRNA from 1 species
ACUCCUACGGGAGGCAGCAGUAGGGAAUCUUCCACAAUGGGCGCAAGCCUGAUGGAGCAACACCGCGUGAGUGAAGAAGGGUUUCGGCUCGUAAAGCUCUGUUGUUAAAGAAGAACACGUAUGAGAGUAACUGUUCAUACGUUGACGGUAUUUAACCAGAAAGUCACGGCUAACUACGUGCCAGCAGCCGCGGUAAUACGUAGGUGGCAAGCGUUAUCCGGAUUUAUUGGGCGUAAAGAGAGUGCAGGCGGUUUUCUAAGUCUGAUGUGAAAGCCUUCGGCUUAACCGGAGAAGUGCAUCGGAAACUGGAUAACUUGAGUGCAGAAGAGGGUAGUGGAACUCCAUGUGUAGCGGUGGAAUGCGUAGAUAUAUGGAAGAACACCAGUGGCGAAGGCGGCUACCUGGUCUGCAACUGACGCUGAGAUUCGAAAGCAUGGGUAGCGAACAGGAUUAGAUACCCUGGUAGGAUAGCG